AACGAACGCUGGCGGCAGGCCUAACACAUGCAAGUCGAGCGCGCCCUUCGGGGUGAGCGGCGGACGGGUGAGUAACGCGUGGGAACGUGCCCUUUUCUACGGAAUAGCCUCGGGAAACUGAGAGUAAUACCGUAUACGCCCUUUGGGGGAAAGAUUUAUCGGAAAAGGAUCGGCCCGCGUUGGAUUAGGUAGUUGGUGGGGUAAUGGCCUACCAAGCCGACGAUCCAUAGCUGGUUUGAGAGGAUGAUCAGCCACACUGGGACUGAGACACGGCCCAGACUCCUACGGGAGGCAGCAGUGGGGAAUCUUAGACAAUGGGGGCAACCCUGAUCUAGCCAUGCCGCGUGAGUGAUGAAGGCCUUAGGGUUGUAAAGCUCUUUGAGCUGGGAAGAUAAUGACGGUACCAGCAGAAGAAGCCCCGGCUAACUCCGUG
rnacentral:rRNA from 1 species